rnacentral:rRNA from 1 species
AACGUAAGGUUCCGAGCGUUAUCCGGAUUUACUGGGCGUAAAGCGCGUUCAGGCGGUUUGGCAAGUCGGGCAUGAAAUCUCUCGGCUCAACCGGGAGAGGUUGUCCGAUACUUCCAGACUUGAGGGCAGUAGAGGGUGGUGGAAUUCCGGGUUGUAGUGGUGGAAAUGCGUAGAUAUCCGGAGGAACACCAGUGGCGAAAGCGGCCACCUGGACUGCACCUGACGCUGACACGCGAAAGCUAGGGGAGCGAACGGG